GGAGAGGUCGCAUAGUGGCCUAGUGCGGUGGUUUGCUAAACCGCUGUAGGGAGUUAAUCCUUACCGAGGGGUCGAAUCCCUCCCUCUCCGCCA
rnacentral:tRNA from 1 species